CCUACGGGGGGCAGCAGUGAGGAAUAUUGGGCAAUGCCCGCAAGGGUGACCCAGCAACGCCGCGUGGAGGAUGAAGGCCGUAAGGUUGUAAACUCCUGUUAGAGGAGAAGAAUAGUACCGAUUGGAUCGGUAUUUGACUGUACCCUCAGAGAAAGCCCCGGCUAACUACGUGCCAGCAGCCGCGGUAAUACGUAGGGGGCAAGCGUUGUCCGGAUUUACUGGGUGUAAAGGGCGCGCAGGCGGGAUAGCAAGUCAGAGGUGAAAUCCUACAGCUUAACUGUAGAACUGCCUUUGAUACUGUUAUUCUUGAGUUCGGGAGAGAGAGACGGAAUUCCAGGUGUAGUGGUGAAAUACGUAGAUAUCUGGAAGAACACCAGUUGCGAAGGCGGUCUCUUGGACCGAUACUGACGCUGAGGCGCGAAAGCGUGGGGAGCAAACAGGCUUAGAUACCCCAGUAGUC
rnacentral:rRNA from 1 species